UUCCGAUUCGUGGAUCUGGGACACCCGUCGAAACCCCCAUCGCUGGCGGUCGUAGCUCUUUUUCUCUUUGGCCAACAGUGUCUGCAGCAUUUUAUAUGACUACAAAAAAAAGAGUGGUGCUGCAUUUGACCCCAGUGUGAGUGAUGGACGACAGUUAGUUCCCAGCAGCAUAGAUUCAGCGAAAAGUCUGGCAUCUUGAGUUGGCAUCUACAUCCUAAUCAGCAUCUGUUCGGUGUGUGGGUAUUACAAGACAUUCAGACACUGAUGUCUCUGUGGCGUUGGUGCACAGGCAGAAGAAGUGACGUACUCAUUGUCACACAGUCAGUAGCAGGAUGUGAACACACAACCUCAAAGUCUUAACCACUACGCCACACUGCUUUCAUGUGGAACCUUGUCUCUUAUUCCCUUGAUCCAGCGUCAUACAGAACAUCUAUUAAUCUAUAUUAAAGUUUCACCGGGUAUUAGCAGUAAAAAAUGUCAGUUACAGACCAAUGCAGAGCACCAUCUAUUACAAUAUCAGAAAUCUAAUAUAGUAUAGAAGAAAGGGGCCUUAGCUACCUCGAAAGCUUGCAUUUAUAAUCUUAGUUAGCCAAUAAAAGGUGUCAUUUCACCCUACUUUCUUCUGUAUCAAUCUAU